UCUUAUUUAGCAUCAUGUCUCUGUGCAGACAUUUACCACCUCCCCUAAUUAGUCUUCUCUGAAGGCUCUGGAGGAGAAUUACACUUCCUACCCAGGAAGCUAAGCACAACGGCCUACCUCUGCUGUAACAACACCAACAUUCUGUGGAAAAUAUCUGUCUAGGGGCUGGUGCUCCCCAGAAGAUGAGAAGUGCCUUCAGCAUGGGCACCAUGACAUCAUUCUGUCCCCCCCAGACCCUUGUAUGAUGUCUGAAACAUACCUUGCUCUAAAGAAAAAAAAAGUCUAUAGAUUUAAUUUCUUUUAUGGUGUGAUGACUUAGGGUAGAUAUUUCCCACUCCUCAGCCAUGAUGUGAGAAUGGAUAUCCAUGGAAGAUCAAUGGUCCUUCUUAGUUAUGUGACCCAAGACAGUGUCAUCAACUGAAAAAUGGGGGAGUGUGAUUAUUGAUCUCUGCACUGCUUUCGUUUAAGCUAUUAAAAUGUUGAUUGAGGAACUAGGAUUGUGACUCAGUGGUAAAGCACCUGCCUGGCACAUGUGAGGCACUGGGUUGGAUCCUUAGCACCACAUACAAAUAAAUAAACAAAAUAAAGGUAUUGUAUCCAUCUACAACUAAAAAAAAAAUUAAAAAAUACUGACUGAGCACAUAGUAUGCAUCCAACACUACU
rnacentral:lncRNA from 1 species